rnacentral:rRNA from 1 species
GAUUAAGUUAUUAAGGGCGCACGGUGGAUGCCUUGGCACUAGAAGCCGAUGAAGGACGUUACUAACGACGAUAUGCUUUGGGAAGCUGUAAGUAAGCUUUGAUCCAGAGAUUUCCGAAUGGGGAAACCCAGCAUGAGUUAUGUCAUGUUAUCGAUAUGUGAAUACAUAGCAUAUCAGAAGGCACACCCGGAGAACUGAAACAUCUUAGUACCCGGAGGAAGAGAAAGAAAAUUCGAUUCCCUUAGUAGCGGCGAGCGAAA